GAUGAACGCUGGCGGCGUGCCUAAUACAUGCAAGUCGAGCGAACAGACGAGGAGCUUGCUCCUUUGACGUUAGCGGCGGACGGGUGAGUAACACGUGGGUAACCUACCUAUAAGACUGGGAUAACUUCGGGAAACCGGAGCUAAUACCGGAUAAUAUUUCGAACCGCAUGGUUCGAUAGUGAAAGAUGGCUUUGCUAUCACUUAUAGAUGGACCUGCGCCGUAUUAGCUAGUUGGUAAGGUAACGGCUUACCAAGGCAACGAUACGUAGCCGACCUGAGAGUGUGGUCGGCCACACUGGAACUGAGACACGGUCCAGACACCGACGGGAGGCAGCAGUAGGGAAUCUUCCGCAAUGGGCGAAAGCCUGACGGAUCAACGUCGCGUGAGUGAUGAAGGUCUUCGGAGCGUAAAACUCUGUUAGUAGGGAAGAACAAACGUGUAAGUAACUGUGCACGUCUUGACGGUACCUAAUCAGAAAGCCACGGCUAACUACGUG
rnacentral:rRNA from 1 species